rnacentral:lncRNA from 1 species
CGAACCUCUGCAAAGCCAAAUUAUAGGUGGCACAAAGUGCACAACGUGACAUCUCCUUAUUCUUUCAUCCAUCAUUUCAUCCUUCCAUACUCCGCAUAACAUUCAUUUUCAUGAAAACAACAUAUAGCAAGCAUUCAAAAAUUCAUACAAUUAGGUAAACCUAUGAAUUACUAACAUAAAAAAGAGCAUACCAAACAUUUCACCACAG